GAUGAAGAACGCAGCGAAAUGCGAUAAUUAGUGUGAAUUGCAGAAUUCAGUGAAUCAUCGAAUCUUUGAACGCACAUUGCGCCCUUUGGUAUUCCAAAGGGCAUGCCUGUUCGAGCGUCAUUUGUACCCUCAAGCUUUGCUUGGUGUUGGGCGUCUUGUCUCUAGCUUUGCUGGAGACUCGCCUUAAAGUAAUUGGCAGCCGGCCUACUGGUUUCGGAGCGCAGCACAAGUCGCACUCUCUAUCAGCAAAGGUCUAGCAUCCAUUAAGCCUUUUUUUUCAACUUUUGACCUCGGAUCAGGUAGGGAUACCCGCUGAACUUAAGCAUAUCAAUAAGCGGAGGA
rnacentral:misc_RNA from 1 species